UACAGAGGGGGCAAGCGUUGUUCGGAAUUACUGGGCGUAAAGGGCUCGUAGGCGGCCAACUAAGUCAGACGUGAAAUCCCUCGGCUUAACCGGGGAACUGCGUCUGAUACUGGAUGGCUUGAGUUUGGGAGAGGGAUGCGGAAUUCCAGGUGUAGCGGUGAAAUGCGUAGAUAUCUGGAGGAGCACCGGUGGCGAAGGCGGCAUCCUGGACCAACACUGACGCUGAGUGAGCGAAAGCCAGGGGAGCAAACGGG
rnacentral:rRNA from 1 species